CUACGGGGUGCUGCAGUAAGGAAUAUUGCGCAAUGGAGGCAACUCUGACGCAGCCAUGCCGCGUGCAGGAAGAGGGCCUUAUGGGUCGUAAACUGCUUUUAUUUAGGAAUAAACCCCCGAACGUGUUCGGGGCUGAAGGUACUAAACGAAUAAGCACCGGCUAACUCCGUGCCAGCAGCCGCGGUAAUACGGAGGGUGCAAGCGUUAUCCGGAUUUAUUGGGUUUAAAGGGUGCGCAGGCGGGCUAUUAAGUCAGUGGUGAAAUCCCGGGGCUCAACUCCGGAACUGCCAUUGAUACUGAUAGUCUUGAGUUUGGUUGAAGUGGGCGGAAUGUAGCAUGUAGCGGUGAAAUGCAUAGAUAUGCUACAGAACACCAAUCGCGAAGGCAGCUCACUAAGCCAAAACUGACGCUCAUGCACGAAAGCGUGGGGAUCAAACAGGAUUAGAUACCCUCGUAGUC
rnacentral:rRNA from 1 species